rnacentral:rRNA from 1 species
CAGAGACUGCAAGCGUUAUUCGGAUUCACUGGGCGUAAAGGGUGCGCAGGCGGCCAAGUGUGUGAGGCGUGAAAGCCCGGGGCUUAACCCCGGAAUUGCACCUCAAACUACAUGGCUAGAGCAUUGGAGAGGGUAGCAGAAUUCAUGGUGUAGCAGUGAAAUGCGUAGAUAUCAUGAGGAAUACCAGAGGCGAAGGCGGCUACCUGGACAAUUGCUGACGCUCAGGCACGAAAGCGUGGGGAGCAAAAGGGAUUAGAUACCCCUGUAGUCCACGCCCUAAACGGUGCACACUAGGUCUUGGCGGAUUCGACCCCCCAGGGCCCAAGCUAACGCGUUAAGUGUGCCGCCUGAGGACUACGGCCGCAAGGCUA